rnacentral:rRNA from 1 species
CACGUAGGGCGCAAGCGUUGUCCGGAAUUAUUGGGCGUAAAGAGCUCGUAGGCGGUCUGUUGCGUCCGCUGUGAAAGCUCGGGGCUUAACCCCGAGCCUGCAGUGGAUACGGGCAGACUAGAAGUAGGUAGGGGAGAAUGGAAUUCCCGGUGUAGCGGUGAAAUGCGCAGAUAUCGGGAGGAACACCGGUGGCGAAGGCGGUUCUCUGGGCCAUCACUGACGCUGAUCUGCGAAAGCUAGGGGAGCAAACAGG